GGCGAGUGAAGCGGCAAAAGCUCAAAUUUGAAAUCUGGCUCUUUCAGAGUCCGAGUUGUAAUUUGAAGAAGGUAUCUUUGGGUCUGGCUCUUGUCUAUGUUUCUUGGAACAGAACGUCACAGAGGGUGAGAAUCCCGUGCGAUGAGAUGAUCCAGGCCUAUGUAAAGUUCCUUCGAAGAGUCGAGUUGUUUGGGAAUGCAGCUCUAAGUGGGUGGUAAAUUCCAUCUAAAGCUAAAUAUUGGCGAGAGACCGAUAGCGAACAAGUACAGUGAUGGAAAGAUGAAAAGAACUUUGAAAAGAGAGUGAAAAAGUACGUGAAAUUGUUGAAAGGGAAGGGCUUGAGAUCAGACUUGGUAUUUUGUAUGUUACUUCUUCGGGGGUGGCCUCUACAGUUUAUCGGGCCAGCAUCAGUUUGGGCGGUAGGAGAAUUGCGUUGGAAUGUGGCACGGCUUCGGUUGUGUGUUAUAGCCUUCGUCGAUACUGCCAGCCUACACUGAGGACUGCGGUUUAUACCUAGGAUGUUGGCAUAAUGAUCUUAACUCGCCCGUCUUGAAA
rnacentral:rRNA from 1 species